AUUCUUCAUCUCCUCACACAGCUUUUCCAAACAAAGCCAUGAAAAUCAUUAACAAAAGAUCUUUUUCUGCUGGUCACAGAAAAGUUUUUUAUCACCUUUCUAGUAUAACUUCUGCCAUUUUAACUGUACUAACCGUUUGGACUUUAGGAGGUGCCUGAUUUUAGAAUGCUGACCGUAGACUGUUGAAAGUUCUUUUUUACUGCUCCAUCCACUGCGCAGAUCAUCCAACAUAGGGCGCGAAUGAGUGGGUAGGUGCA